rnacentral:rRNA from 1 species
GACAGAGGGUGCAAACGUUGUUCGGAAUUACUGGGCGUAAAGCGCGUGUAGGCGGCUAAGUAAGUCGGGCGUGAAAUCCCACGGCUCAACCGUGGAAGUGCACUCGAAACUGCGUAGCUGGAGUCCUGGAGAGGAAGGUGGAAUGCUUGGUGUAGAGGUGAAAUUCGUAGAUAUCAAGCGGAACACCGGUGGCGAAGGCGGCCUUCUGGGACAGUGACGUGACGCUGAGACGCGAAAGCGUGGGGAGCAAACAGGG